rnacentral:rRNA from 1 species
GACGAACGCUGGCGGCGUGCUUAACACAUGCAAGUCGAACGGAAAGGCCCUGCUUGCAGGGUGCUCGAGUGGCGAACGGGUGAGUAACACGUGGGUGAUCUGCCCCUUACUUUGGAAUAGCCUUGGAAACCUGGUUUUAUUCUUGUUUGGACCAUUCCUGUGGUUGUGUUGUUGGAAGGUUUGUUUUGGUAAGGGAUUAGGUCGCGGCCUACCCGCUUGUUGGUGGGGUAAUGGCCUACCAAGGCGUCGACGGGUAGCCGGCCUGAGAGGGUGGACGGCCACAUUGGGACUGAGAUACGGCCCAGACUCCUACGGGAGGCAGCAGUGGGGAAUAUUGCACAAUGGGCGAAAGCCUGAUGCAGCGACGCAGCGUGGGGGAUGACGGCCUUCGGGUUGUAAACUCCUUUCAGCCAUGACGAAGCCCUUGUGGUGACGGUAGUGGUAGAAGAAGCACCGGCUAACUACGUG